UUGUGCUACCUUCGGCGGCAACGCAGCCAUGUAUUUCAUUCUGUUGUUAAUUUCUUUUUCAAACUCGGCUUGAGGAAUUACUUCUACCGUGCGUAGAUUCCACUGCUU